AACGAACGCUGGCGGCAUGCCUAACACAUGCAAGUCGAACGAGACCAUCGGGUCUAGUGGCGCACGGGUGCGUAAAGCGGGGGACGCUGCACUUAGGCUUGGAAUAACUCUCCGACAGGGGUGCUAAUACAGGAUAAUGUACUCGGACAAAAGAUAUAUCGCCUUUGGCAGGGCCCGCGAUGGUUUCGCUUGUUGGGAGGGUAUAAGCCGACCACGGCGACGAUCCAUAGCUGGUCUGAGAGGAUGGGCAGCCACACUGGGACUGGGACACGGCCCAGACUACUACACGAGGCAGCAGUGGGGAAUAUUGGACAAUGGGCUAGAUCCUGAACCAGCUCUGCUGGUAGAGUGAUGAAGUCCUUAGAGUUGUAAAGCUCGUUAACCCGGGAUGAUAAUGACGGUACCGGGAGAAUAAGCUCCGGCUAACUCCGUG
rnacentral:rRNA from 1 species